rnacentral:rRNA from 1 species
UACGUAGGGGGCUAGCGUUAUCCGGAAUUACUGGGGCGUAAAGGGUGCGUAGGCGGUCUUUCAAGCCAGAAGUGAAAGGCUACGGCUCAACCGUAGUAAGCUUUUGGAACUGUAAGACUUGAGUGCAGGAGAGGAGAGUGGAAUUCCUAGUGUAGCGGUGAAAUGCGUAGAUAUUAGGAGGAACACCAGUUGCGAAGGCGGCUCUCUGGACUGUAACUGACGCUGAGGCACGAAAGCGUGGGGAGCAAACAGGAUUAGAUACCCCCGUAGUCCCUGAG